CGGUUUUCUUUGUACGCUUGGACAUAAUGUAAAUCAUUUUAUGUCGUUGGGUUUGUUUAAAUUUGCAGAUAUCCGGGUAUAUUAUAAUAUAUUGUGCGGAUAAAAAACGUGGACGGAUAAAAAGGCCGGGUGUCCGUAUCCGCGGGGGCCUCGUGCCGCCUACAAAAAAAAGGCUUUGGGGUACUAUUAUCGGGCCUGCGUCCGAAAUGCAAUACACUCCGAAUUUAAGAACCCGCGUAACGG